rnacentral:rRNA from 1 species
UACGUAGGGGGCAAGCGUUGUCCGGAAUCAUUGGGCGUAAAGAGCGUGUAGGCGGCCCGGUAAGUCCGCUGUGAAAGUCUAGGGCUCAACCCUGGGAUGCCGGUGGAUACUGUCGGGCUCGAGUCCGGAAGAGGAGUGUGGAAUUCCUGGUGUAGCGGUGAAAUGCGCAGAUAUCAGGAGGAACACCAAUGGCGAAGGCAGCACUCUGGGACGUGACUGACGCUGAGACGCGAAAGCGUGGGGAGCAAACAGG